rnacentral:rRNA from 1 species
GAGCGGAUGACGGGAGCUUGCUCCUUGAUUCAGCGGCGGACGGGUGAGUAAUGCCUAGGAAUCUGCCUGGUAGUGGGGGACAACGUUUCGAAAGGAACGCUAAUACCGCAUACGUCCUACGGGAGAAAGCUGGGGACCUUUGGGCCUUGCGCUAUCAGAUGAGCCUAGGUCGAAUUAGCUAGUUGGUGGGGUAAUGGCUCACCAAGGCGACGAUCCGUAACUGGUCUGAGAGGAUGAUCAGUCACACUGGAACUGAGACACGGUCCAGACUCCUACGGGAGGCAGCAGUGGGGAAUAUUGGACAAUGGGCGAAAGCCUGAUCCAGCCAUGCCGCGUGUGUGAAGAAGGUCUUCGGAUUGUAAAGCACUUUAAGUUGGGAGGAAGGGCAGUAAGUUAAUACCUUGCUGUUUUGACGUUACCGACAGAAUAAGCACCGGCUAACUCUGUG